UACGUAGGGUCCGAGCGUUGUCCGGAAUUACUGGGCGUAAAGAGCGCGUAGGCGGUUUGUCGCGUCGGGAGUGAAAACGCCGUGCUUAACACGGCGCUUGCUUUCGAUACGGGCAGACUAGAGGUAUGCAGGGGAGAACGGAAUUCCUGGUGUAGCGGUGAAAUGCGCAGAUAUCAGGAGGAACACCGGUGGCGAAGGCGGUUCUCUGGGCAUUACCUGACGCUGAGGAGCGAAAGUGUGGGGAGCGAACAGG
rnacentral:rRNA from 1 species